rnacentral:lncRNA from 1 species
UUUUAUGUUUUGCGUAAUGCAAUCCGAUUAUUGUAUGUAAUUUGGUCCUCUAAUUCCCCCUAAUCCCGGUAAUACUUAAUAUUACUAAAGGUGUUUUGACUUUUAUGUCUUGUGUUAGAGGAUAGGAUAGGCCUCUUUUCUAUUCCAAACUACGUAUUGAUGCUUUUAUGUUUUGCAUAAUUCACAAACCAAUUAUUGUAUGUAUUUAUAGUGUUGUACUGAAUAUUCGUUAAAAGGUACAACAAUUGAACUAAAUCACAUAGCAUCGACUUAAUUCCCUCUAUUCCUUUGUUCUUUUAGUGCCUUGAUUAUCAAAUAUGCCACCGAGCAACUAGAUCUAAUUUUCAAACAUUACAACAAAACGCAUAAAUAGAAUUACAUAAAAAAAACAAAUAAGAAAGAAAUACUAAGUAUGCAAAAUUUUUUGAUCAAUCAAACUAUUUGUUGCUAUGGAUUAUUUAUCCCUUUAGAAUUCAUAAACUCCC